rnacentral:lncRNA from 1 species
AAAUGAAUGUAACAUCAUUUAUAUAUAAUGGAGUUCUAUACAAAAUAGUUAAGUAAUUACAUCAUACGAAGACAACGAUCCAGCAACCAAAGUUGACUGGGAGACGAUGGCCUAGACCACUCAUGAACUCAUCACAGCAUCCUUCAUGCGCCUCAUCCUACGGUACCUAUUCUUGACCUGGGGGGAUCUGAGUACAGCAAGGGUGAGCUCACAUACGUUCAUCGCUCAACAAGUUGUGGGGAAUAAUGUGCAUGAACUCAUCGAAGGUGGGAUCUCAUGUGAAGUGUAAGGCUUACCAAAGGAGAUGGUUAAAGCUAAGCAUUGCUUUUAGAGUUGGUCAGAAUUUUAUUAGCAUUUACUAUGCAUAAGUAGAUACCAACCCAAUUAAAUAAAAGAUCACAAUUGAUAAUAACACCCACGACGCAAUGCAUCUAACAGAUUAAGUUUAGUUCCAUAAGUUAAUCAUGCGAGAGUCCUGAGUCGCUCUUGACCGUGAGCAUGGCUGAUAUACCAGUUUUACACUCUGCAGAGGUUGCGCCCUUUACCCACAAGUCGUGUAUCCCGUCUAGCCAGGGUUUCAAGGCUCUUAGACACUUCCGAGGUGAAUGGCUAGGGAUCCACUAUGAGGCCUUUACAAAGUUCCACUAGCUUUAGAAAACCCGCUACGGUUUCUAAGAAGGGCAAUAUAGGAAUCCCUCGUCCGAAAAGCCAUCGCAGCAUGAUCGACCCGAGAACCUCCCUAUACACAGCUCCUCUAUCGCCCUUGCCCCUUUUGGUUAAGGUAGUGCUCCACUAGCUUUCCUAAUUAGUCGACCAAGGGCGUCCCAUUCCACCCUUGUGGUAUCAUGGAUAUCUCAAGUUAAGCUCCAUGUUCGGAUGUUCCAAUCAACACAAUGAUCUUGUCAUGAACAAUAAUUAAAACAACAGCAUAACUGGAACAUGAUCAUAAUGUAACAUUAAUCCCAAAACCAGGUAGAGCAAUAGCAAAACUACCCAAAAGUUCAGUGGUAAACAAGGUGUGGGAUAAACAAAUCUAGGGAACCUAUUAGGUCCCAUAAAAUUAACCUGAGCAUGUCAUAGUGAUUAAUUGGAACAUUAUUGGGUAAAGAGAAAAGUGAUCAAGGGCACAACUUGCCUUAGACUCAAGAUUCCUAGGUAUUUCACCAACUUGGUCUUCAAGUGACUCGUUAACCUCGCUGCUACUCUGGUAAUACAAACAAACAUGGUGUAGGAGAAAUUAACAUCACACCAAACAUAAGAACAAACUGCAUAAUAAUGUUCUACACGUCGUAACUAGAUCCUAGGUUCGAGAAUCACUAAAUUCAGAGUUAUGGUCAUAAAGUUAUGAUUUUACGAAGGUUUAAGUGUCUACUAUAAAACAAAUAAGGUACAAGAUUUUAACCACAGGUUUCAUGGUAAUACAAGGUUACUAGAUGAUAAACAAUAUUAAUACAAGAUUAAUGCAUCUGGAAUGGAUCAAAAAGGAGCUAAAAUGAAUUACUUAUGAAUUAAACAAGUUUCUGGAAUUAUUUUUAUACUAGAAAUCAUUUUCUGAUUUAAUUCUGAAUUUUCCUAAUGGUUCUGAACCACGGACAUAAUUACCAGAGAGCUCGGGGUUAAAACUAUAAAUUCCAGGACCUACUUGUAAUUACUUUUGGCUUGAGGUGGACGGCAGGUUCAUUAUACAAUAGCUUAGGGUCUCUUAUGAAUAUAUUCCGCGGUGAAGGGGUAUCAUACGAUUUCGGCCAUUAGAUGGUCCACCAACGCCCCAGAUUAAUUCGCUCAUAACUCUACACAAGUAAGCAACACAUUCCAUCGGAUCAAUGAUCGGUGGUUAAGAUUUAAAAUCACCUAGUUGGCUCUAGACUGUUUACUUUCGGAUCAACCUGCUAGAUCGAUUAACUCGAAACGUUACCCGGUUCUAAUCCCAUCCAUCCGUUGAAGAUCCAACGGUCGUCGAGCGCAACCCCUUUUCUCGUCUCCUCUUCGACUAACCUAGGCGCGUCGGCGCCCACACGACCCACGGCGGCACCAUCGCCAGAGCAAGUCCACUUCGCAGCCAGGUGCCCCCAACCUCCAAACGAACCAGCGCAAAUAAGCCAAACGACUUUUUGUGAAGCUUGGGAAGCGAAUCAUACCAGAGAAUACGCUGCAAGGAGCCUACGAGCGGCGCUCGAGGAACUCUGUCGAGUGAUUCAGCUGUUCCUCGAGAGAUAGUGCGGGACGAGAUCGACGGUAGCAGCGUUGUUCUCUCUUUCUUCUCCUCUCUGCUCACAUGAUGCACUCGGCUUUGGCACAGACGGAUGAGUGGAGGGAGGCCGUGGCCUCAAAUAUACAUCCCUAGGGGCGCCCAGAUUCCGGGCCAAGUCCAAGAACGGCCAGCGUGGUUUCUGGGCGAUCGAGGGCCAGUUACAACAAUCUCGGAUAGGGAUGGUCGAGAUGAGGAGAACAAUACAGAGAAGAUAUUUGGGGUGGGAUUCUGUGUUUUUUGUCCAAAGCCAGCCCCCGAGGUCAGGGAUAGAGCUGACCAGCGGGCCCCCUAGUGGUGACACCAUUCAACGAGUGCGGACCACGCAGAGAAGUGGGCCCCAUGUGGCAGUGGAGGCAGAGGUAUGGCUGGACCCUGGGUCCACGCGUCAGCGCGAUAUGGAGGAAGG